CAGCAGCCGCGGGAAAACGUAGGUGGCAAGCGUUGUCCGGAAUUAUUGGGCGUAAAGCGCGCGCAGGCGGAUCAGUUAGUCUGUCUUAAAAGUUCGGGGCUUAACCCCGUGAUGGGAUGGAAACUGCUGAUCUAGAGUAUCGGAGAGGAAAGUGGAAUUCCUAGUGUAGCGGUGAAAUGCGUAGAUAUUAGGAAGAACACCAGUGGCGAAGGCGACUUUCUGGACGAAAACUGACGCUGAGGCGCGAAAGCCAGGGGAGCGAACGGGAUUAGAUACCCUGUAGUCCCUGUCUCUUAUACAC
rnacentral:rRNA from 1 species